GACGAACGCUGGCGGCGUGCCUAAUACAUGCAAGUUGAGCGCUGAAGGUUGGUACUUGUACCAACUGGAUGAGCAGCGAACGGGUGAGUAACGCGUGGGGAAUCUGCCUUUGAGCGGGGGACAACAUUUGGAAACGAAUGCUAAUACCGCAUAAAAACUUUAAACACAAGUUUUAAGUUUGAAAGAUGCAAUUGCAUCACUCAAAGAUGAUCCCGCGUUGUAUUAGCUAGUUGGUGAGGUAAAGGCUCACCAAGGCGAUGAUACAUAGCCGACCUGAGAGGGUGGUCGGCCACAAUGGGACUGAGACACGGCCCAAACUCCCACGGGAGGCAGCAGUAGGGAAUCUUCGGCAAUGGACGAAAGUCUGACCGAGCAACGCCGCGUGAGUGAAGAAGGUUUUCGGAUCGUAAAACUCUGUUGGUAGAGAAGAACGUUGGUGAGAGUGGAAAGCUCAUCAAGUGACGGUAACUACCCAGAAAGGGACGGCUAACUACGUG
rnacentral:rRNA from 1 species